rnacentral:rRNA from 1 species
UACCUAGAGUUUGUAGACUUCGGUCUGCUACCUCUUACCCAUGUCUUUUGAGUACCUUCGUUUCCUCGGCGGGUCCGCCCGCCGAUUGGACAACAUUCAAACCCUUUGCAGUUGCAAUCAGCGUCUGAAAAAACAUAAUAGUUACAACUUUCAACAACGGAUCUCUUGGUUCUGGCAUCGAUGAAGAACGCAGCGAAAUGCGAUAAGUAGUGUGAAUUGCAGAAUUCAGUGAAUCAUCGAAUCUUUGAACGCACAUUGCGCCCCUUGGUAUUCCAUGGGGCAUGCCUGUUCGAGCGUCAUUUGUACCUUCAAGCUCUGCUUGGUGUUGGGUGUUUGUCUCGCCUCUGCGUGUAGACUCGCCUUAAAACAAUUGGCAGCCGGCGUAUUGAUUUCGGAGCGCAGUACAUCUCGCGCUUUGCACUCAUAACGACGACGUCCAAAAGUACAUUUUUACACUCUUGACCUCGGAUCAGGUAGGGAUACCCGCUGAACUUAAGCAUAUCAAUA